rnacentral:rRNA from 1 species
UACGUAGGGUGCGAGCGUUGUCCGGAAUUAUUGGGCGUAAAAGAGCUUGUAGGCGGCUUGUCGCGUCUGCUGUGAAAAUCCGAGGCUCAACCUCGGACUUGCAGUGGGUACGGGCAGGCUAGAGUGUGGUAGGGGAGACUGGAAUUCCUGGUGUAGCGGUGAAAUGCGCAGAUAUCAGGAGGAACACCGAUGGCGAAGGCAGGUCUCUGGGCCACUACUGACGCUGAGAAGCGAAAGCAUGGGGAGCGAACAGG